UCGAGAAUCUUCCGCAAUGGACGCAAGUCUGACGGAGCGACGCCGCGUGCGGGAUGAAGGCCCUCGGGUUGUAAACCGCUGUCAGAGGGGAGGAAAUUUUGACCGAUCCUCAGAGGAAGCGCAGGCUAAGUUCGUGCCAGCAGCCGCGGUAACACGAACUGCGCGAACGUUAUUCGGAAUCACUGGGCUUAAAGAGUUCGUAGGCGGCUUGGUCAGUCAGAUGUGAAAUCCCACAGCCCAACUGUGGAACUGCGUUUGAUACUGCCAAGCUUGAGGGAGUUAGAGGAAAGCGGAACUGAUGGUGGAGCGGUGAAAUGCGUUGAUAUCAUCAGGAACACCGGUGGCGAAAGCGGCUUUCUGGAGCUCUUCUGACGCUGAGGAACGAAAGCUAGGGGAGCGAACGGG
rnacentral:rRNA from 1 species